rnacentral:rRNA from 1 species
UUUAUGGAGAGUUUGAUCCUGGCUCAGAGUGAACGCUGGCGGCGUGCCUAAUACAUGCAAGUCGAACGAUGAAGCUUCUAGCUUGCUAGAAUGCUGAUUAGUGGCGCACGGGUGAGUAACGCAUAGGUCAUGUGCCUCUUAGUUUGGGAUAGCCAUUGGAAACGAUGAUUAAUACCAGAUACUCCCUACGGGGGAAAGAUUUAUCGCUAAGAGAUCAGCCUAUGUCCUAUCAGCUUGUUGGUAAGGUAAUGGCUUACCAAGGCUAUGACGGGUAUCCGGCCUGAGAGGGUGAACGGACACACUGGAACUGAGACACGGUCCAGACUCCUACGGGAGGCAGCAGUAGGGAAUAUUGCUCAAUGGGGGAAACCCUGAAGCAGCAACGCCGCGUGGAGGAUGAAGGUUUUAGGAUUGUAAACUCCUUUUGUUAGAGAAGAUAAUGACGGUAUCUAACGAAUAAGCACCGGCUAACUCCGUGCCAGCAGCCGCGGUAAUACGGAGGGUGCAAGCGUUACUCGGAAUCACUGGGCGUAAAGAGCGCGUAGGCGGGAUAGUCAGUCAGGUGUGAAAUCCUAUGGCUUAACCAUAGAACUGCAUUUGAAACUACUAUUCUAGAGUGUGGGAGAGGUAGGUGGAAUUCUUGGUGUAGGGGUAAAAUCCGUAGAGAUCAAGAGGAAUACUCAUUGCGAAGGCGACCUGCUGGAACAUUACUGACGCUGAUUGCGCGAAAGCGUGGGGAGCAAACAGGAUUAGAUACCCUGGUAGUCCACGCCCUAAACGAUGGAUGCUAGUUGUUGGAGGGCUUAGUCUCUCCAGUAAUGCAGCUAACGCAUUAAGCAUCCCGCCUGGGGAGUACGGUCGCAAGAUUAAAACUCAAAGGAAUAGACGGGGACCCGCACAAGCGGUGGAGCAUGUGGUUUAAUUCGAAGAUACACGAAGAACCUUACCUAGGCUUGACAUUGAGAGAAUCCGCUAGAAAUAGUGGAGUGUCUGGCUUGCCAGACCUUGAAAACAGGUGCUGCACGGCUGUCGUCAGCUCGUGUCGUGAGAUGUUGGGUUAAGUCCCGCAACGAGCGCAACCCCCUUUCUUAGUUGCUAACAGGUCAUGCUGAGAACUCUAAGGAUACUGCCUCCGUAAGGAGGAGGAAGGUGGGGACGACGUCAAGUCAUCAUGGCCCUUACGCCUAGGGCUACACACGUGCUACAAUGGGGUGCACAAAGAGAAGCAAUACUGCGAAGUGGAGCCAAUCUUCAAAACACCUCUCAGUUCGGAUUGUAGGCUGCAACUCGCCUGCAUGAAGCUGGAAUCGCUAGUAAUCGCAAAUCAGCCAUGUUGCGGUGAAUACGUUCCCGGGUCUUGUACUCACCGCCCGUCACACCAUGGGAGUUGUGUUUGCCUUAAGUCAGGAUGCUAAACUAGCUACUGCCCACGGCACACACAGCGACUGGGGUGAAGUCGUAACAAGGUAACCGUAGGUGAACCUGCGGUUGGAUCACCUCCUUUCUAGA